rnacentral:rRNA from 1 species
AACGAACGCUGGCGGCAUGCCUAACACAUGCAAGUCGAACGAGACCUUCGGGUCUAGUGGCGCACGGGUGCGUAACGCGUGGGAACCUGCCCUUAGGUUCGGAAUAACUCCCCGAAAGGGGUGCUAAUACCGGAUAUUGUCUUCGGACCAAAGAUUUAUCGCCUUUGGAUGGGCCCGCGUUGGAUUCGCUAGUUGGUAGGGUAAAAGCCUACCAAGGCGACGAUCCAUAGCUGGUCUGAGAGGAUGAUCAGCCACACUGGGACUGAGACACGGCCCAGACUCCUACGGGAGGCAGCAGUGGGGAAUAUUGGACAAUGGGCGAAAGCCUGAUCCAGCAAUGCCGCGUGAGUGAUGAAGGCCUUAGGGUUGUAAAGCUCUUUUACCCGGGAUGAUAAUGACAGUACCGGGAGAAUAAGCUCCGGCUAACUCCGUG